rnacentral:rRNA from 1 species
GACGAACGCUGGCGGCGGGCUUAACACAUGCAAGUCGAACGAAGUGGCGAACGGGUGAGUAACGCGUAAUCAACCUGCCCUUCAGAGGGGGACAACAGUUGGAAACGACUGCUAAUACCGCAUACUGAAUGAGGGGUAUGCGGCUGAUUAGCUAGUGUGAGGGGUAACGGCCCACCAAGGCGGUGAUCAGUAGCCGGUCUGAGAGGGUGAACGGCAACAUUGGGACUGGGACACGGCCCAGACUCCUACGGGAGGCAGCAGUGGGGAAUCUUUCGAAAUGGACGAAAGUCUGACGGAGCAACGCCGCGUGAGUGAUGACGGCCUUCGGGUUGUAAAGCUCUGUUAAUCGGGACGCGGUACCGGAAUAGAAAGCCACGGCUAACUACGUGCCAGCCGCCGCGGUAAUUC